CCCUUAGACGUUCUGGGCCGCACGCGCGCUACACUGACGAAGGCAACGAGCUUUCCUUUACCGAAAGGUACGGGUAAUCUUUUGAAACUUCGUCGUGCUGGGGAUAGAUCCUUGCAAUUUUUGAUCUUAAACGAGGAAUGCCUAGUAAGCGCAAGUCAUCGACUUGCGUUGAUUACGUCCCUGCCCUUUGUACACACCGCCCGUCGCUACUACCGAUUGAAUGGUUUAGUGAGGCCUUCGGAUCCGCGACUCGUUUGUGGAGAAGUUGGACAAACUCAGUCAUUUAGAGGAAGUAAAAGUCGUAACA
rnacentral:rRNA from 1 species